CCCAGAAAGACAAUGACAUCCUGGCAUCCUGAAGACUAAUGGACAUUGCAAAACUUCUGCAAUAUCUUCUGAUCAUCUGCUUUAAGCAGCAGUCUGGAAGAAUCACACCCAUCAGAUUGACAUGUGAUAGCUACACGUUUGCUGACUGGUUUUUCCUCAUGUCUGCAGGUUCCAUCAACCCCCCUCCAUACUCUCCCCGGGGGGGGGGGGGGACAGCACAACGGAGCCAGCCCCACCCCUCACCCCACCCCACCCCACCCCAAGUGCAAAAAUGUGGGAUGAGGCAUGAAGGUAUUCCACCGUCACUUUCGUUGUCCUGGGCAGGAUUGUUUGUUGGAGGUUCUAUCAACCCCCCUCCAUACGCUGUCCCCCCCUCUCCUCAUGGGGGGGACAGCACAACGGAGCCAGCCCCACCCCUCACCCCACCCCUACUUCACAGCGCAACUGAUCAGGCGAGCUGACUUCUCACCUGAUCAGUUGUGCUGUCUUCUGCCCCACCCCCAAACCCACCAAACCCCACCCCAGCCCAGCCACACAUCUCCAUCACAGCUGAUCAGCAGCAGUCUGGAAGAAUCACACCCAUCAGAUUGACAUGUGAUAGCUACACGUUUGCUGACUGGUUUUUCCUCAUGUCUGCAGGUUCCAUCAACCCCCUCC